rnacentral:pre_miRNA from 1 species
GAAUGGUCUUUUUCGUGAUCUUCCACAGCUUUCUUGAACUGUGUUGUGUGAGGUUUCUCCAAGUGAAGGUUUAAGAUCCCUUAUGCAACAUAAAUUCUUUGAGCACAAUUCAAGAUAGCUGUGGAAAAUCACUGAGAUGAUCUCGUUC